GACGAACGCUGGCGGCGUGCUUAACACAUGCAAGUCGAACGGAAAGGCCCUGCUUUUGUGGGGUGCUCGAGUGGCGAACGGGUGAGUAACACGUGAGUAACCUGCCCUUGACUUUGGGAUAACUUCAGGAAACUGGGGCUAAUACCGGAUAGGAGCUCCUGCUGCAUGGUGGGGGUUGGAAAGUUUCGGCGGUUGGGGAUGGACUCGCGGCUUAUCAGCUUGUUGGUGGGGUAGUGGCUUACCAAGGCUUUGACGGGUAGCCGGCCUGAGAGGGUGACCGGCGACAUUGGGACUGCGAUACGGCGCAGACUCCUACGGGAGGCAGCAGUGGGGAAUAUUGCACAAUGGGCGGAAGCCUGAUGCAGCAACGCCGCGUGCGGAAUGCCGGCCUUCGGGUUGUAAACCGCUUUCGACUGUGACGAAGCGUGAGUGACGGUAAUGGGUAAAGAAGCACCGGCUAACUACGUG
rnacentral:rRNA from 1 species